rnacentral:rRNA from 1 species
AGUGAACGCUGGCAGCGUGCUUAACACAUGCAAGUCGAACGAGAACGGAAUAUAGCUUGCUAUAUUUGUCAGCUAAGUGGCGCACGGGUGAGUAAUGUAUAGAUAACCUGCCCUUAAGAAAGGAAUAACAGUUGGAAACGACUGCUAAUGCCCUAUAUGCCUUUAAUACAUAAGUGUGCAAGGGAAACGCUUUAGUGCUUAAGGAUGGGUCUGUAUGGUAUCAGCUUGUUGGUGAGGUAAUGGCUCACCAAGGCUAUGACGCCUAACUGGUUUGAGAGGAUGAUCAGUCACACUGGAACUGAGACACGGUCCAGACUCCUACGGGAGGCAGCAGUGGGGAAUAUUGCACAAUGGACGAAAGUCUGAUGCAGCAACGCCGCGUGGAGGAUGACACAUUUCGGUGCGUAAACUCCUUUUAUAUAGGAAGAUAAUGACGGUACUAUAUGAAUAAGCACCGGCUAACUCCGUGCCAGCCGCCGCAGUAAUAC